rnacentral:sRNA from 1 species
UCGCCUCCGACAUAUUGCCCGCAGGAGCUGCGGCGGCGAAGCGGAGAGCACCGGGGGAGGAGAUGGGUGAGCAGAGCGGCUCAGGCUCGGCCUGGCAACGAGCGGGCGCACGGGAGGACGAAGAGGUCCCAACAGGACAUCUUACUGUCGAAAUCCGCUCUGUGAGCCGGGAUCCUCGGGGGGCUCUAGUGGAAGCCACACUUCCAGUGCAUCGGUGACCAGUGUUCGUUCCCGCACCAGGAGCAGUUCUGGAACAGGCCUCUCCAGCCCUCCUCUGGCCACCCAAACUGUUGUGCCUCUACAGCACUGCAAGAUCCCCGAGCUGCCAGUCCAGGCCAGCAUUCUGUUUGAGUUGCAGCUCUUCUUCUGCCAGCUCAUAGCACUCUUCGUCCACUACAUCAACAUCUACAAGACAGUGUGGUGGUAUCCACCUUCCCACCCACCCUCCCACACCUCCCUGAACUUCCAUCUGAUCGACUUCAACUUGCUGAUGGUGACCACCAUCGUUCUGGGCCGCCGCUUCAUUGGGUCCAUCGUGAAGGAGGCCUCUCAGAGGGGGAAGGUCUCCCUCUUUCGCUCCAUCCUGCUGUUCCUCACUCGCUUCACCGUUCUCACGGCAACAGGCUGGAGUCUGUGCCGAUCCCUCAUCCACCUCUUCAGGACCUACUCCUUCCUGAACCUCCUGUUCCUCUGCUAUCCGUUUGGGAUGUACAUUCCUUUCCUGCAGCUGAAUUGCGACCUCCGCAAGACAAGCCUCUUCAACCACAUG